UUUAUGCCUAGCCUGGGGACAGAGGAAAAGAAAUUACAGCCAGCCGAAUGCUGUCGAAUCCUCCUAGUUUGGAAGUGAAGCCCAAGGAAGCUGUUUGUAGGGGUGCAAUAAGGGAGAACCAUCGAGGCACCCCGAGACCUUGUCUCCCCAGAGAACAAUCAAAGUAGGGAUUUGCUUUAAAGGCAGGAGCGGAGGCCCCGAGCCAAGAACGCCAUCAGCAAAUCAAGGUGGGAUCUUGACCUGGAGAAACCCUGAGGCUGCCCAUUUUCUCGCCAAAAAUGAGUUUUGGAACCGCCACCGAAGAAUUGAACCCUGAGUAGAUGAAAUCUUAGGGAACCACCCUUGAUCUUAGCCCAAAGGCCAAGGAAUAUGUCCAGGAUCUGUUGUGCCUCGCUCACCCCCCUCUCCGCAGCUGGGCCCCUCUCAUCUCCUGCCAGACACUGAUAGUACAGGAGAAUGUCCUGGCAUGCCUCCAGCCCCCAGUCCUGGCACCAUGCUCGGAGAAACUGAGCAAACAAACCUCCCUCCGAUAGCAAGUGUGCCUGAAGCCAGCCACGAGCUGGGAUUACCGGCAGCUGGGGACGAAAUGAUGCAGUGGACAGAUCCUUGCUUCCAGAGAAUGGAGAGGCGACGUCAGCAAAAGGAAGGGAGGGGCAGGCCUGGAUAAGUGCUGAGUCAUGGAGCCACACCCCAUGGCCUAUAUAAAAGAUCUGCUUUCUGGCAUUCUCUGAGUCAGGCAAAGUCUAAUCUGGAUUGCUGAAGUCACACCUUGGAUUCCUGCCUGCCUUGAGGACUCUGAUAGGACUUUGGCGGAGCUGCAGAGGCACGUUUGAUACAGACUUCCCUGACCCGGCCGUCAGAGGACGAGUGGGACACGACAGGAUCUUGAUCUUCAAAUCAGUCUUAAGUGGGCCCUUAUCAAAGGGACCUUCGUGGGGCCUUAUCAAAUGAGGUGCACAGAAGUGUGGACAGAAAAUCGACUGGAGAGGCACAACCGUAUGAAACAAGCUCCGACUGUUUUUUUCCCUUAAUCUGCUAGUUUCUUCUUUUCCAUUUGCAAGAAGGAUUUUUAUGUUGCUACGCAGCACUUGGUAAGUGUCUCAUGUUCCUGCAGCAGACCAGGAUGUGCUCCAGGAGUAAAGAUACUGGAAGCAAGGGCACCUGUGCAAACAACAUCCGGCUUUGCAAAACGGAAAAAUACAAACAAGAACAAGGGCGGUGGGCAUAGGAAAUGACAAGUCGAAGGGAACAGCGAUUUAUUAUGGACAUUAUCGAGAAGAAAACAAAUGUUGUAUUACAGCAGUGUUUCGCUGGGGAAUUCUGGGAGUUGAAAUCCACACGUCUACAAGCUGCCAAAGUUGAGAAAUAUCGCUACAGGGUGAGAGAAAACCAAGAUAUUUUUUUUUUCUGUAACCUUGGA